rnacentral:rRNA from 1 species
CGGAGGAUCCAAGCGUUAUCCGGAUUUACUGGGCGUAAAGAGUUGCGUAGGUGGCUAAAUAAGUGAAUAGUGAAAUCUGAUGGCUCAACCAUCAACACAUUAUUCAAACUGUUUAGCUCGAGAAUGAGAGAGGUCACUGGAAUUCCUUGUGUAGGAGUGAAAUCCGUAGAUAUAAGGAGGAACACCAAUGGCGUAGGCAGGUGACUGGCUCAUUUCUGACACUGAGGCACGAAAGCGUGGGGAGCGAACGGGA